CAAGCGGAAUCCGAAAAGCUUUAAUAGAGUAGGAA
ncrna:unclassified sequences DTF805b RNA